rnacentral:rRNA from 1 species
GUGCCAGCAGCCGCGGUAAUACGGAGGGUGCAAGCGUUAAUCGGAAUUACUGGGCGUAAAGCGCACGCAGGCGGUUUGUUAAGCUAGAUGUGAAAGCCCCGGGCUCAACCUGGGAUGGUCAUUUAGAACUGGCAGACUAGAGUCUUGGAGAGGGGAGUGGAAUUCCAGGUGUAGCGGUGAAAUGCGUAGAUAUCUGGAGGAACAUCAGUGGCGAAGGCGACUCCCUGGCCAAAGACUGACGCUCAUGUGCGAAAGUGUGGGUAGCGAACAGGAUUAGAUACCCCCGUAGUCCC